rnacentral:rRNA from 2 species
CGCCUCCUGUCAAAACUAUAGAAGGUCCAACCUGCCCAGUGAACACUUCAACGGCCGCGGUACCCUGACCGUGCUAAGGUAGCGCAAUCACUUGCCCUUUAAUUGGGGGCUAGUAUGAAAGGUCAAACGAGGGUGAAACUGUCUCGCCAAAACAACUAAAAAUUAUCCUACAUGUGAAGAGACAUGUACGCCUAAGAAAGACGAGAAGACCCUGUCAAGCUUUACACCUAACUGCCCACACACCCUCAACCACGCAGAAAAAGUGUUUUGUUGGGGCAACACAGGAAUCAAGCUUCCUCACAACAAUGCUCCCUUCUCUAAAAAAUCCGGCACAACCGAAAAAAGACAGAGCUACUGCAGGGAUAACAGGCUAAUCUGCUUCGAGAGGCCACAUUGACAAGCAGGCUUGGCACCUCGAUGUUGGCUUAGGAAUCCUUGUUGGGGCAGCCCCCAACAAGAGGAGGUUUGUUCAACCUAUAAUCUCCUA